GCUCGAUUAGUGUAGCCAGGUCCAUCAUCUCGGGUUUUCAUCCCGAUAACGCGGGUUCGAAUCCCGCAUCGAGUACCA
rnacentral:tRNA from 2 species